rnacentral:rRNA from 1 species
CGGCGAACGGGUGAGUAAUACAUCGGAACGUACCCAAUCGUGGGGGAUAACUAUCCGAAAGGAUAGCUAAUACCGCAUAAGUCCUGAGGGAGAAAGCAGGGGAUCGCAAGACCUUGCGCGGAUGGAGCGGCCGAUGUCAGAUUAGCUAGUUGGUGAGGUAAAGGCUCACCAAGGCGACGAUCUGUAGCUGGUCUGAGAGGACGACCAGCCACACUGGAACUGAGACACGGUCCAGACUCC